GCUCCCUGGUCUCCCUUCAUAUCGAAUAAAUCUUUCGCCUUUCAAUAAAGAUUUCCUGGAGGGGGUCUCACUAAAGAGUCUGAAAUAUACUGAUAGUCAUUUAAUUAUUAAUUUUUUUUUAUUAU